rnacentral:lncRNA from 1 species
GGACUUGACACUGUCCUCUCGGUGCAGGGAUUACAGGGACUCCCACCACUCCUAAUUGAUGUAGUGCUGGGGGUCAAAUGUAGAGUGACCCUUGUGCUAGGUGAGCCCUCCAUGAACUAAGCUACAUUCCAAUGUCCAGAUUUCUGUCAUUGCUACUAAGCAAAGUCCUUCCAUAGCACGUUCCUCCAUCUUUUUGGAUGACUGGAUUCAUCUCUGUGGGUUUUGUGUUUCCUUUUGCAGUUUGGAGGUGGGUCAGCAUGUUCACAUACAUCCUCAAGGCCUCUUGUCAGCCCACUCUAGUCUAGUUUACAGUUUUGGUUUAGCUCAAAUGAGCGGGGAAAGAAGUUUGGGGAAGAACGUGCUACCAGGCGAGGACGUGUAUUAGCCCCCAUUUCUAUUGACAAGCCUACUACAGAGACAUACCUCAUGUCUUCUUUCUAAGUCCUUUCAAAGCAACCUUUGAUGUUGUUUUGUUAUGGACUUAACACCAAGAGGCAGAAGUAAGUAAAAGUAAGUGUGGCUGGAAAAGGGGCAAGAGAGAUUGGUUAUGUGAUUGAGUGGGUGGGGCCGACUCUUGGUAUUGAUGUGAGCAGUUCUUGUGUAUCGGCCUUUGAGAUGCCAGGAAAAGUAUUGGAGAGGAUUUUUACCACCGAUUCCCGUUUUCUAAUUGUAAAAUGUCCACAGGCACUGCGCCUAAGAUGCUUUGUGUGGUACAUCUCGUUUGCUUUUUUCUUCACCCCCAAACAUGGUGAUGGAGAAUAUAGUCCUACAAGUUUGGGCCACUGUGUACCAUUGUGUGAUGACACAGCGAUCAAACGAGGGACAGGCUGUCGUUUCCAAGUUUCCCUUCUGCUUAUUUGUAGUAAACUUUGACCUCCAUUCAUUUCAACCUUUGUAACUUUGCUCUCUCUUAUAUGCUGCCUUUUUCAGAAUAUCAUAUACUGAGAAUCGUACCUUUAAUUCUAGCUGCUAGAUGGCUGGGCGUUAAAAUGUCCACAAAGACCUGUUUUGAAAAGCACCUGGAGGAUUUCUCCCACACUUGAUGAAGAUGUAGAACUCUCAGCUCCUCCUGCACUAUGUCUGCCUAGACACUGCCAUGCCUCCUACCUUGACGAUACUGGACUGAACCUCUGAACCUGUAAGUAAGUCCUAAUUAAAUGUUGUCCUUUAUAAGAGUUGUCUUGGUCAUAGUGUCUGUUCACAGUGUUAAAACCCUAAGACACCAACACAAUGAGCACCAGUGAGAAGUUUUGUUGAAUUGAACAAAACUAUGUAUUUUCAUUUAAAU